UUCCCUUAAAUCAAAGUUUGCUUUCUGCUGCUAUGGUUUUCUUUAUAUAUUAUAUACAUGAUUACCAUCAAUUAUCCACUGAUUUCUAAGAAACAAAUUACCAUAAUGUAAUACUCCCUCCGUUUCAAAAUAUAAGCAAAUUUUACUUUUUAGGUUCAUUCAUUUAAUGAUGUAUGUGAUCUAUAUUAUAAACCACAUACAUCAUUAAUUGAAUGAACCUAAAAAGUAAAAUUUGCUUAUAUUUUGAAACGGAGGGAGUACACUUUUAUCAGUCAAACAUUAAAAACCAAAGGACAACCAAAAAAAUGUCUUCAAAACUAGGUUACAUUUCAAGGAUUUCUUUGAAAGCAAAAAUGAGCCACCUUAAAAAAACUAUGUUUGACAUAAGGAUGUCU
rnacentral:lncRNA from 1 species